CUAUAUCCUUUCAGCACAGAGCCCGAGUAUUCGGAAACAAGGUGUGAUUUUUCCUAACUGAACUGAUCGUUUCCAGUGCCUGACCUGAGAAAUCUGCGUGUCUUAUUACCUGGUGAUCUGGGAGAAUGGGAUCCUUUGUCUUCACACACACGAGUCACUCAACUUCCUGAAUGAAGUCAGGGAAAGAAGGAAGAAAAAUCCAGUGAGCUUCAGUUUCCUUAUUUGUCAAAGAGAGAUAACACCAUCUAUAUCACAUAGGUGUAUAUCUCUGAAUGCGAGCACAGGAAAACAACAGCAACAGAAAGACAAUUCAAUGUGCUGUCGACAGUGCAAUCUUUGGGACGAAGAUAAAAUGAAGAGAGGUGGAAUUGAGUAAUAGUUCAAUGAUCUGCUGCUCGGCCAAUAUUUUCCCGCCAGAGUUCAAGUUUCCUCUAAAUAGCUUCAUUCAGAUCAUUCACGCAGCAGUCCAGAGCCGGCCCCUGCUUCUCCAUCUCUGCCUGUCCCUGGGGCAGUUCUGCUCUCUGCACACUGCUGACACUCGGGAGUAGAGCUGGGCUCCACUUAACCAGUAGGCCACUUUUCUGCAAUACCUGCCUGCUGCCUGUCUCCAGACUGGCUGAUGUCACUACUCUGUCUGCUGGUAAGAAGAACCCAAACCUCUGGGCCCACGAAGACUGACUGUGAGAAGCCCAGUACUCACCCCGCUGCUCCUGCUCCAUCUUCAUCUGUGCUCCUGGAACACGCACAUGCCCCUCUGCCUGGAGCACCCACAAGACCUCACAGAUUGCAGACUUCCGCUUCAUACCAUGUCGUAUCUCAUUGCCCCACGUCAACUGGAGCCCAGAAGGCAGGGAAGUUUGUACAGUCCAUUCAAGGGUUCGAGCUGAAUGGAGAAUGGCAGAAAAUGAAACUUGGCAAAACAGAAGAAGAAUGGAGUCUGGAUGAAAGACUCUCCAAUGUGAAAUGAGCACUGCUUGAGCUGAGACAUAAAUGAACCAAUACCCGCUUUGUGAGUUUUCUCUUAAGGAUAACCAUCAUUAUUCAUUCCUCACACAACAAAAUUAUCAAUAAUAAUUCAUGAGACAAUUACAGUGGAAUCCCAAUACAGAGAGACAUCUGGAAUACCCAUUAGAGAGCCCCAUGUGACCAAAGGUUAAGAAACAGUACAAGGAGAAACAAGCAAGGACUCCGGAUUUCAUCACUGGAAGAAAUUGACAUGCUGAUUCCAAAAUUUAAAAGAACAGCCAAAACAACUUUGAUGAAGAGGAACAACUUUGGAGGAUUUAUACUGUGUGAUUUCAAGACUUACUGGCCUUUUCUCCAUUCAAGUCAGUCCACCUUGAGCUCUUUGCGUCAGGACAAGAUAAACCUUUUGGAGUCUGAAAACAUCCAUCUUUAGUUCUCUGCAGCCGGGGGUGAUGAGAGAGGGAAGGACUCCCGGAUAGUAACAGAUGUGGACGAGAUGGAUGAAUCUGUGUUGACAAAGCUCCCCACCUGAGACAGGAGGAGAGGUCCCAGGAGGUGGAUGGCAAGCCUGAACGUGGACAUGUGAGAUUUACCUACAGGAAUUAAAGCAUCAGCAGGGUCCGGAGCACAAGGAAAUGAAUGCAUUCCAACGUAUGACGGCAAGAAGCCCAGCACCACAAGGAGAGUGAUUCAGAUGCCGUGACCGAACUAGUAGAACCUGCUUUUAAUGGUCAGAAGAUGCUCGUUUCCUGAGGCUUGGGAUUGCUGAUUCUCCGGACACCCUUGGUGCCUGAAGAGGACAGAAUGCACAACAACCCGAAAGCCACCAGGAAAUGGAUGACCAACGCUGGAGACAAGGGAUUAUUUGAGGUGGAGGAGACUGAGGCAGGGAACAGUGAAAUGACUUGGUCAAAGUUUCUCCAAGAAUGAGCAGGAGAGCCACACCCAGGUCUCAGUGGAAGUCCAACCUCAUGGUCACAUUCUUCUCCACUGCACAUCUCAGGCUUUGUAUUAUCUUUUAAUGGAGGAAACGGGGGCUCAGAUGAAGGACCCAGCUUAACCAAGGGCCCCCAGCCAGGAAGUAGUGAUGUGAGGACUGGAAACCAUUUAUUGCUGAAGUAACAUGGAAACCACUUGAGAGCAUGGGCUUUGGAAUCAUUGGGAGUUGGAUGUGGACCUUCCUGGCUCUGUGACCUUAGGCAGUUGACCUGACACCUACAAAUGGGAUCAACUGCAGUGGCGCCCUCAUCAGGCUAUUGCGAGCCUCUGUGAGACCCUGACAUACACAGUGGGUUGAGCACGCUGCCUGACACGCAGCAGCCCUUGCAAGUACCUAUUGAGGACCUGCUAUUCCAGCUGCUUUUAACCUUCUUCAUGACCCACUGGGUAGGUCGUACUGUCCCACUUUUCAGAUGAGCAUAUUCUGGGUAAGUCACUCACCCCAGUUGCUUAGCUGUGAACUGAUGAAGGCAGGAUUCAAACUUACGCAAUCCAGCUCCAGACGCCCAACCUUCUUCUUUGCCAAGCUGUUCUGUCUGCACCUGCACUCAGUGUUGUAGUAAAACAGGCCUCAGGAAAGCACAGUAGGCAUUCUUCCCACCACAUAGCAGGGUGGUCCUUGGAAAUAAAUCUGUGGGGAUGAGCAAGGAAAGAUGCCAUGGAAGGUGGGUCACUCUGUGCGGGGAGGCAGGAAGCAGCAUCCUCAGGGCAGAUGGAGGACUAAAAGCAUCCCUGCCCAGGGGUCUCAGCAGCCCAGAAGGCCACUAAGAAGAGGCCUGGCCCCUCAUUCCACAAUCCAUUGUUGGCCAAACCUGCUCAGGGAAAAGUGAGUUGGGUGAGCAACAUGGCCAAACGUCUGGGAAGGGCCCCCCUUUUGCAAAUCCCACAGAAGCAAGUUUUACUGGAUUUGGAAAGGCUAAGUCCAUCCUGGGCCUCAGCCCAGGGGCAGGCGGGGUUAGGAGGGGUCAGCCCGCUGCACUGUCAGUGUCAGCUGUGUGCUCUGAAGCUACAAGGCCAGCAUCAUUUAGAGCAACUGAGCUUGACCACCGCAUCUACGUUACUUACCUUCCAUCUGGUGGUGGUUCCCUUUUUUGAAGCUGGACUGUGUUGUGGCUGGCCUUCCAGUUUAUUCCAUUCUCGUUGCUGAGCUGCUCAGGCUCUUGCUCAGCAGUGUACUUUAGAGAACAAAGAGAGUCGAGAACUGUAGGAAGGUCUUCUCUUUAUCAGUUGAAACAUGCUUGCAUCACUUUCCCUAAAGUGGAAGAAAGGGGUACAGAUGUUAGAUUUGCACUUUCCUGACUUUAUCUUUUCCCCCCCGGUUUCUUCACCAAGAAUCAUAGGGCAUGCAUGAGCAUAGCCUGAGUAGCCACUUGUCCAGGAUGCUCAGAUGGAUAGGGAUGCUGGAGGUCACCUGAAUCACAUGGGACUUUGAGCCAGAUAAACCUCCAGGGCUGCUGCAAAUGGUAAGACCCCAUGCCUCCUACAGCGUCAUCUGAAGUGGGUAAGUUGGGAUGAGCAUCCCUCUUGGGGUGAGGAGUUGGUCAAUAAUAAUACUUCAGUCCUAUAACUGUACAUGUAACUCAUUGAUUCCCUACAAUAAUCGUAUGUGGUAGGUACUAGUAUUAUUCCUAUUAUAGAGAGGAGGAAGCUGAGUCACAGAGAGAUUGAGAGACUGAUCCAAGGAUACACAGGUAGUUUAUAGCAGAGCUGGGAUCUGAGCCCAGGCAGAUAGACUCCAGUGUCUGUGUUCUUAAACUCCAACCAGUAUAGCCUCUCUAAGGUGGCCCAAAGCAGUGAAGUGACCUGCCCACAAGAUACGGAGUCAUGGCUUAGAAUCCAGCCUGUGAUCUCAACAAGAAACCACACUGGGUUUAGAGCUCAGAGCCAACUGGUCUGGUCCACACUCUGCAGUGGAUGGUGAUCGCCCUUCCCAGCCUUCCCCUGCCCCGUGACGCACCCUUCCCAUGCCCGCCAAAGCCUGUGCUGUCUCUUGCUUCCAGACCUUUGAGCCCUCCUGUCCUUCAGCUUGGUACACACACCACUCCCCUUGCCUGGAUCACCCCUACUCACCAUUCCAGACUGAACUGAGACCUCCUCGCCACCUUGGCCUUCCAAAUCUGACGUUUGUGCCCCUCCUGCCUGCACACUUGUCAAACCCAACUUCCCCGUCUGACGUCUUCCAGACCGUCAGCUCCAAGAGGGAAGAGAUGAGCUCUGUACUUGACAUGUCACAGCAUCUCAAUAAAUUUUUAGUGGCACAAAUUUAAGGGGUGGGAGGACUUGCAGCUGCCCCAGUAUGCCCCAGGCAGAGGAUUCAUCAGCACUUCUUCUAGUUCCUCUAGGGUACCAUGCUCUCCCUCACCACUGGGCCUUUAUACAUACUUUUCCCACAUCUUAAACAUUUUCGAAUGUCCUCCUUUUUAAUCUAGUCUUCUGUCCCCUAACCUGGUCAGGUUGCCUUGUUUUAAGCUCUCAUGGCCCCCUGCAGUUUUCCUUUAGAGAAGUAGUUCCCAAAGUGUGAUCCCUGGACUCCCUCCCGGGAGGUCCCUUAGGCCUUUUCAGGGAGUUUGUGAGAUCAAAACUGUUAUUAUAAAUAUUUAAUCAUGAAGAAAAUACACAGUACACUUCAAGUGAAUACAAUAUUAUAUGUCAGUUUUAUUUCAAUUAAAAAAAGAAUACACAAAGCAAAUCAUAGUAGGUGCUUAAUAAAUAUUCAAAAAUUAAGUAAACCAAAGCCCUCCUGAUGGGUAUGAGUGUCACUGUACAUUCCUGAGACAAACCCCCUCCCUCACCAAGAACCUACACACACACAGACGCUAAAUUCUGCCCUUGGGAAGGGGCUGUGGAAGAUGCCUCCAGGGGUAGAUGAGGGAGGAGGAGGAAUGAAGGCAACUUAUCCCCUGAAACUGGGCACCCAUGGGGCAAAAUCUUUGGGGCUCAGCAUGGUGGUGUCAAUGUGCAACUUCCCACUUGGCUCUGCAUUUCUCCAGUUUCUUGCAGAUGCAUCUGGAACACAUUAGAAAGGGGUCAGACUGGUUUGGAAAAUGUUUGGGUAACUCUGGACAUGGGAGGUGGAGCUGGAAACCUGUGGGAAAGAACAUGACCCCCAGACAGAGUUCACAGUUAUGGCUGGAGAGCUGCAUGCCCACCGGUCCAGGACAGGCCCUCUGGGCCUCCGCAGCUCAGGCCCUACCUAUCUGGCUCCACCUUCAUCCCUCAGAGACCCCUUUUCAGACUUGCUUUGGUAAGGAGACAUCCCUGUGUGCCUCGUCCUUUCCCCAUUUUCCUUCUCCUGACCCAGACCACAAACUUAACACAACCCAGGCCCUGCUCCAUGAAUAAUAAUGGUCAUGACAGUAAUCAGAACCCAUAAAUCAUUUCCCUUCUCUUGAGCUCACAUGUCCCAGGUGAAGAGCUUCACACACAUUCUCCCAUUUUAUCCUUUGAAUAAAUCCUCAAAUCAUAUGUAUUCCUGUUCCCACUUCACAGACAGGGAAACUGAGAGGCAGGAAGAUAACCCAACUCUCUCAGGGUUGUAAGGUUGAAACUCAAAUCCAGGGUUGUCUAGCACCAAAAUUUGUUUCACACCCUCACAGCACACGCAUAUCCCAGGUAAGAUGAAAGAAUCCGUCUGGAAGCUACUUCCUUUUCCCCCAAAUCAAGGAGAUGCAGCAGCUAAGAGAAGGCGCUAGAAAGCAGAGGAAAACUUAUUAUCCGUGACACCUGGGUACCUGUAACAAGAAGCUCCUGUUUCAAAUUCAACCGCCCCUGCCCUCAGCUGUCGCUCCCAGAUUAAAUUUCUAACGCCGUCUUCACGCGAGAGUUGACCGCGGGAGAGCAGCUACCGCGGGCUCAGCACGCGCUUCCUCCGUCCACCCGGCCCUCGGAAGACGGGAACACUUCGCCUUAGGGAGAAAGUAGUCGUCGAAAAAACAGCUGAAAUCUUUCGCUUGGACCAGCCCUGAGAAGGCCCGGGCUCAUGUUGGACGUGGGGCGUGCGGUGGAGCCCAGGCAGGGCUCCGCAGAGCAGAGCGGGGACAGAGCGGGGGCCGGCCGGGCCCUUCCCUGCUCGCGCCCCGCGGUCACAGGACAGCACGGCCCGAGGCCCGAGCUGGUGGCGGUGCUCAAAAGGGGACGAGGGAAGCCUGCCGUCAACUUCACCGACACUUUUUCUCGGUCUGGACCUGCGUUGUCCCAUACGGCAGCCACGAGCCACCUGUGACCCGGACUGCGGCUGGUCUGAAUCCGGAUGGCCUGCGUGAAAUACACGCUAGAUCUCCCGACUUAGCACAAGAAAAAUCAAUUCCACGUGGUGGCAAUCAGGCCCAUUUCACAAAUGAAGAAACAGACUCAGAGUGAAAGAGGAACUUGCUCAGUAUCCUGUGGAGCCAGGCUCUGAAGCCGAGAAGUCGAUAUUGCAGCCUCUACGCUCCAUAGUGUUGCAGGAAGAGCAAAGAUGGACCAAGGCUGUGAGCUCCUGGAGUAUGAGAGAUGUGUCCUGGACCAUUCCCAUCCUCGUGACCCUACUCUCCAGUGAUGGUUUUGAAAGUACUGUGAUGAUGACAGAGAGAUCCAGGUGAAUGCAGGAAAACGACAUUAGCAGCAACUCCUAUACCUCGAACACUCAUCCCAGAGAUUGUUCUCCAUUCCCCAUCUGCGUCAUCUGGAUUCAUCCCCACCACCCGCCUCUGAGGGCAGAGCUGUUUCAUCCCCAUUUCAGGGAAGGACAGUGAGGCCCAGGCAGAUGCCCACGAAAGAAGUCACUGAGGGAAGACGCGGCACUGGGCGUGGAAACAAAGACAAGACAAGAUGGAGACAAAAGCGGGAAGGAAAGGGGUAGCAUGCAUGCAAAAUGAGAAAGUUUCCAAAAGGAAGGGCGGACACUUCAUGAGGUGAUUGUGUACAGUGCCUCGAUUGGCCUCCAGGAAGACGCAAAGAGAAGUCCCCACCAGCAUUCUGCUCUCAGACCUCAGGCACCUGAGGAACAUGUGGCAAGAGAGGUGUUUUCAUCCUCCC